rnacentral:rRNA from 1 species
GGCAGGAUCAAAAGUGGUGCAUGGGUGUCGUCAACUCCUGUCGUGAAAUGUUGGGUUAAGUCCCGCAAAGAGCGCCAACCCCGUCGCAUGUUGCCAGCAUUUACUUGGGGACUCAUGCGAGACCGCCGGUGACAAACCGGAGGAAGGUGGGGAUGACGUCCACUCAUCAUGCCCCUUAUGUCCAGGGGUACACACGUGUUACAUUGGGGCGUACAGAGGGUUGGUAUACCGUCAGGUGGAGCGAAUUCCU